UUCAGACAUAUGCUUGUCA
rnacentral:snRNA from 1 species